AAUUUUAUUACGUAUAAAAAUAUAAAGAAACCAAAACGCAUCAAAUGGCAAGCCACAUGUAAGGGUUAAACAGGAACAGAAGGCACAUAAUGUAAUUAAUGAGGAAGCAAAAUAUUGUGUUCUUGUAUUUUCUGCUAGACUUGUAGAAACAUGUUCUGCCUUGCUUUUACACAAGAGGACACUUACUGAAAUAAGCUUUGAAUGUAGUUCAAAUGCUUCCAGUCAUAUUUUGUACAUUGAGGAAGAAGUGUGCUUUACCUGCCAUCUGGUGACAGAUUGAGCAUGCAACUUCAUGAUUGUUGAAGAUUGAAGUUCAUUCAGCUGUGAUGCUUUGCUGUGCAGUGAGCAGACCUUAUUUAUAUAAUUGCUGCUGUAGCCCUGUCUGUGUGACCUUCAGGACUGAAUUACCAAUCAUUGACUCGUAUUUGGUCAGUUGUGUAGGGACUUUUAUGAAAGUUGGCCAUUUUAAAAGUAUCUUUGUGUUUUUUCUGGAAUUCCAGCAGUAUUGAAAACAGGAUUUGGUCUAGACUGGCUUUUCCUUCUAUCAGCAAUGUCAUGGCAAGGCCUGCCAACAGCAGAGCGGUCAAGGUGCCGUUGGUAGCGAUGUCUCCAUGGGCACCCAAUAUUUCUCCACCAGCUAGAGUGAAUAUGACACCAAACACCUCACUGGAUGCAUUCAGCAGCCCAGAAGAUGUUCCUUCAGGUAUUGGAUAGGGAGCUGCUGUCGCAGAGAUGCUUGGGCAGGGCUUGGGGGCAGUGGCGGCUCCUUCUGGAAAACUGUGCCCCACUCAUAUGAAGAAGUUUUGUUACACACUUUUAUUUUUUAUUAAAAAUGGGCUCCACUUCGUAGGAAAACCACAAACUACACGACAUUUGAAAGCAGAGAGCUAAGAAGAAUAUGAAGACCCAACCGAGAAGAGCUAAGAAGGGAAUAGAGCAUAUUACACAAUAAGUGAUGCAACACUGAGGGAUUAACAGAUUUGAGUGAAUGUAUAAAGUGAAGCUUUUACAGCAACUGAAGUUGAUGAAAGACUCUCGGGCUACAAGCUGCAUCAGGUGGCUGAAUGAUGAAUAAAUCAUAUCUUCUGCCAACUUUUCGAGAGCAAUCUCCGUUCUCAUCCUUGGGGCUGCCGGGUAACCAGUCUGUUCCUUUGUCGUGUGCUAGCUGAUGGGAACUGGUUACCCAGUAGUCCAGAGGAUGAGAAUGGAGACUGUUCUCGAAAUGUUGGCAGAAUAUAUGGUUUAUUCACCUUUCAGACACCUGAUGCGGCUUGUAGCCCGAGAGUCUUUCAUCAAGAUUUAAGUGAAUGUUUAUGAAGCAUUCUUGAUAUUUCAACAAUACAGAUUAGCAGUAAAUGAAUUUUUGGAGAUAUUUACAACUUAUUAAGUGGCAAGUUCUGCAAAAUGAAGUAGAGAAACAUCAUACAAAGGAUAGAAAAUAUUGCAUGCACUUAGAAAAAAUAAAUAAUAAAAAUUUCCAAAUCAUUAAUUCACUGGAUGCCUAUAAGAAGAUGCUGAAGGAGAAGACCACAAGCAAGGUGGUUACAAAGAGUUUAUUAUCGACAAUCAUUAAGUAUGAGAAUGUGGCUAACACAGUGAUGCUACUUACAAAAGAGCACGAGGCAAAGCAUGAUGGAGGGAGCAACUGCCAUGCCAUAGUAGAGAAUCUUGAGGUCAUGUCCAAUGUCUUUGACAUCCUCAUGGUUACCAACUACUGCAGGUGGGAUCAGAAAGCCAAGUGCCACCCCAACCUAAACAAUACCAACCUAGUAACUCAUGAAAUUGUUAAUGAUUGGAAUCUUCAAGAGUUCAUGAAAAACAAAAGGCAAUCAGUACAGUAAUGUAACGCCACACCUUGACUGACUGAGGAAAAUGUAUAUACACGAAGUUUCCUUUUCAGGCUGACAGUAGCAAUAUCAAGACUGAUAUUUUCAGAA